rnacentral:rRNA from 1 species
UACGGGGGGGGCAAGCGUUGUUCGGAAUUACUGGGCGUAAAGGGUUCGUAGGUGGUCAAUUAAGUCAGACGUGAAAUCCCUCAGCUUAACUGGGGAACUGCGUCUGAGACUGGAUGGCUUGAGUGCAGGAGAGGAACGCGGAAUUCCAGGUGUAGCGGUGAAAUGCGUAGAUAUCUGGAGGAACACCGGUGGCGAAGGCGGCAUUCUGGACCGACAUUGACGCUGAGGAGCGAAAGCCAGGGGAGCAAACGGG